CGCUCUGAUGGCCUAAUGGUUGAAACGUCCGCCUCGGAUACGGGAGGUCGUGGGUUCGAUCCCCGGCCGAGUGA